AAAAAUCCUAAUCUUAAAGCUCAUAGAGUGAGAAGGGAUCUGACAUAGAUCACACAUGGCCAGCAUUGGACCAAUUCGAAUCUUCAAGUGUCCAGGUGAAUGAACAGAACCUGCGGAAGAUGACAAGUACAGUUUCCUUUCCACUAGAAAAAAGACUGAGCUGAAGAUUGCUAAAAGUGAUAAAGUGAAAGAGCACAGUGUUCCUAGAUUCAAAGACUUCAGGCUGAUGAAAGAGAAAAGAAUGAUCAUUUGUGAUAUUUACAUUGGGCGAUAUUUUAAUGUUUCUUUGAGAUGUUUUCAUACUUAAAUAUCAAUUAUAACCCAACAG
rnacentral:lncRNA from 1 species